rnacentral:rRNA from 1 species
CAAUAGCGUAUACUAAAGUUGUUGCAGUUAAAAGCUCGUAGUUGGAUCUCAGGUCCAGGCUCGAGGUCCACCUCGCGGUGGUUACUUCCUGCCCUGACCCAACCUCCGGUUUUCCCUUGGUGCUCUUGAUUGAGUGUCUCGGGUGGCCAGAAUGUUUACUUUGAAAAAUUAGAGUGUUCAAAGCAGGCGCUUAGCCUGAAUAAUGGUGCAUGGAAUAAUGGAACAGGACCUCGGUUCUAUUUUGUUGGUUUUCGGAAGUCGAGGUAAUGAUUAAGAGGGACAGACGGGGGCAUUCGUAUUACGGUGUUAGAGGUGAAAUUCUUGGAUCGCCGUAAGACGAACUACUGCGAAAGCAUUUGCCAAGAAUGUUUUCAUUAAUCAAGAACGAAAGUCAGAGGUUCGAAGAUGAUUAGAUACCAU